GACGAACGCUGGCGGCGUGCUUAACACAUGCAAGUCGAACGGAAAGGCCCUGCUUUUGUGGGGUGCUCGAGGGGCGAACGGGUGAGUAACACGUGAGUAACCUGCCCUUGACUGUGGGAUAACUUCAGGAAACUGGGGCUAAUACCGGAUAGGAGCUCCUGCUGCAUGGUGGGGGUUGGAAAGUUUCGGCGGUUGGGGUUGGACUCGCGGCUUAUCAGCUUGUUGGUGGGGUAGUGGCUUACCAAGGCUUUGACGGGUAGCCGGCCUGAGAGGGUGACCGGCCACAUUGGGACUGAGAUACGGCCCAGCCUCCUACGGGAGGCAGCAGUGGGGAAUAUUGCACAAUGGGCGGAAGCCUGAUGCAGCAACGCCGCGUGCGGGAUGACGGCCUUCGGGUUGUAAACCGCUUUCGCCUGUGACGAAGCGUGAGUGACGGUAAUGGGUAAAGAAGCACCGGCUAACUACGUG
rnacentral:rRNA from 1 species